CCGUCAGGUAGGAGUCAGUCGUGGUACGAACGCGAGAACGGAAUUGUCAUUCAUAUUUUUGUUCGUCGUUAGACGAACAACGUGUUCUUCCCCAUUAUUCCUUUUUUUUUUUCUUUUUUAAAUUAUUCUAUUAUAAGUAUAGGGAAAUUAUUUAUAUUUCAAAGAAAUAUUAAUUAAAAAAGAGAAGAAGAAGAAGAAGAGGAAGAGGAAGAGGAAGAAUAAGAAUACGAAGAAGAAGAAGAAUAAGGAAAAUUUGUGAACGACGGGAAUGGGGAUGAAAAAAUAUCAACUGUUCGUAGAAGACGGUGUUAAUGAUUGGUUUCGAAGGAUAUUAAUUACAAGUAGGAUAUAAGCACCGUGAAUCAAUAAAAUUAUGUAACGACGAAAUAUUUGUUCGCGCAUGAAGAAACGAAGGAAGAACUAAUAAUAAGGUGUUCGUUUGUUUGAUAAUAGAUAUUACAAAUUGAUUGAUAAUACUUUAGGAUAUAAACAAGAAAAAGAAGAAGAGUUUAGUUAAAAGGAUGACUGGACGUUCGCGAUCUUUGAUAUUUCUUCUAUUCCUCGUCGUCGUCGUCAUCUUGUCGAUCAUUUGUACAGGAUUAUGCCAAAGUUGUCAAGACACAGCAUGGGAGAAAGUUGAUGGAGCUAGGCCUGAAUAUACCAUUUCUAAAGUUGCCCUGUUCAGUGGUGAAAAUGCCCAUGGCAUUGUUAUACCUUGUUUUGAAAGGUGUAAAAGAAUCAAUUGCACUGCCUUCGUGAUCGAUAUCGAUCGAAGUCUCUGUUACAGCGUCGAAGUUCAAGGCGACGAAUUUGUUCCAGAGUCGAAUGCUAUAUUUUAUCAAGAAAUUUGUAUUAAAGUACCUAAAAUUUGUAAAGAAAAAAAACUUUGGCAAGUGGAAAGAACAUUGGGCGCCGUUUUACUCGAUGUUGCUUCCGUUUGGUUACCACAACUUAUGCGAAGAAGCCGAUGUUAUAAAAUGUGUAUCGAUGCAGGUGGUGCCUGUAAAUCAGCCCAAUUUCGUGCAUCAAAAGCAUUAUCGAUUAAUAAUACACUUGGAAGAUGUGCCCUAUCAAUGGCUGAAAGGAGUAUUAGACCACAGACUUACAGGGCUUCCAUGUACAGAGACGAAUAUUUGCAACAUCAGUGUCAUGAUAUAUUAAAAAUGGAUUAUUGUUCCUACGCUGAAUUUCCGAACGUAACUCUGCCAUAUUCAGAUCUUGAAUUACCUGGUGUUGAUAAACAAGAGUGCGAAAGCAGAUGCGAUCUUGGCGAGGAUGGUUUCAUUUGUAGAAGUUAUACAGUAGUAUACACGUCAAAUCAAAAACCAAUUUGUCGAUUACACUCAGAAGAUACACUGAGUCUUGGUACCAGUUCACUUGAAAGCACACCUAAUAGUAUUUACAAGGAACGUGAACCUUGUUUAGACGUUAAAGUCAAAUGCAGCGACAUGAUGUUAACAGUAACUUUGACUACGUUGGAACCCUUCGAAGGUAGACUUUACGCCAAUGGUUAUGGAAAUGAUUGUGGUAUUCAAGGGACUGGCCGAAACGUAACAAUAUUAACACUGCCUUUACCAAAAACCGAGGAAUUAGAUAUGUCCAAAAUUCCAUGUGGUUUAACGCCAGCAUUUUCAAUCGAUAAUGAAAAUCGAACAAGAACGAUGAUAUGGGCUACUAUAGUCGUACAGUUCAAUCCUAUUAUUCAAAGACUGGGUGAUCAAGCUAUUAAAGUUGGAUGUACUAUAGGUGAACAUGAUAUUCCAAAGCCUAGAAACAUAUCGGUGCAAUCGAGUUUAAGUUUUGCUGAUCCCAACGCAGGAGUACCACCAAUUUCAACAAUUGUAAUGAACGCAUCAUCGGAAGUUCCAGUGAUAACAAUGAGAAUUUUAAACGAGGAUCAUCAGGAUGCUGUUGUUACGAAACUGGGAGAAAGGCUGACUCUUAGAAUUGAAAUAAAUCCAGCUGAUGGUCCGUAUGAUAUCAUGGCUGGACAUCUAGUAGCUAGUAGUGCAACAGGACAUUGGUCUUAUCUUCUACUUAAUGAAGUUGGGUGUCCUACGGAUCCAACAACAUUUCCAGCGUUAUCAAAAGAUCCUAGUGAUAAUCGAUCACUUAUUGCAACUUUUACUGCUUUCAAAUUUCCCGAAAGUCAAUUGGUUCGAUUCAACGUUAUUGUUAAAUUUUGUCUGGAUAUAUGCGAGCCGGCACAUUGCGAAGGAAAUCGUGUCUCUUACGGAAGAAGGAAACGAAAAUCAACAAUUGCCACUUCUACGUCGGAGCCUUAUAUAACUGCUGAGUUCAGAGUCCUGUGAUAUUUGCGGAUCCUCUACUGUCCAGGGAAAAUACUACUCCCGAUACGAUUCUAAUAGCUGGCGGACACUCCAUCGAUGGACUACUCUGCGUAGAUGCUAGUUUAGUUUUAGGCUUACUCAUCUUUUGGCUGAUCAUUCAAAUAAUUUUGAUAGCAUCUUGCCUAUUGGCUGUUGGACGAUACAG
rnacentral:misc_RNA from 1 species